CCCGAGAAGACAUUAGCAUCAUAAUUAUCUGAAAACUUACAAAAACUUGUUUCCAGUCAUCAUGACAACGCCAUCCAAGCCGGUCAUCUUUUUCGCCGCGGUGCUGACGCUUUCGUUCUUCCUCACCUACGCCACGGCCAGGCGUGCCUGCAACAACGGGGCGUCAAACUGCCUGGCCUGCGUCUGCAACGAGUGGGACGACACGGCCGUCUGCUGCACUGGCGAAUUUAACGAGAGCAACGGCAAUUGCGAGGGCAUCCUCAAGGGAAAGAACGGACCCUUCAAGAAGUGCUGCGGAGGAAAACGUGGCUUUGGAAGGUGCUGGUAGAUACAUACAUAACCACGCCAACAGAAAAUGUUUGUCUUAAAUUUCGUUUCAUUUGAAUAAUUGGAGAUGCAAGAAUUUUAAUAUGCAAAUUCUCAUUUUUGCAAAAACAUUAAAAGUGUAUGUACCAAGUUACCACUAAUUGGUAAAAGUAUUGGACUAACCAGUCGAAAUAAAAUACUAUCUUUGAAUAUGUAAAUAA